UGGCCCUAGUUUGUUAUAUAUGUUAGUGUCUGUAGCAUGUAUAAGGGACAUGUUAUCAUACCUGUGUCUUUUUAUAGGUGACUGAUGCCCGGUGAGAAGGUGAAAGUGACCUAUACCCCCGUCAGCUGCAGGAAAGGAACCAAGAGACAGGUGACUGAUGCCCGGUGAGAAGGUGAAAGUGACCUAUACCCCCGUCAGCUGCAUGAAAGGAACCAAGAGUUAGUCAUUGACGUCCCGUGCGUGCGCCCGUAGCAACGGAGGAGCGGAGAUUAAAGCAACUUUUUAAAUAGUCUUCAGUAGAAAGUAUCAAAUGAUCGUAGCAGGGGGUAUCACUCCAACUCAAAGAGUGGACAGGAGAAAGAAUACUUGAAGAAAGCUCACACAGGCUAGAAGAAGGAGGAGAGCACACUAAAGAUGGAGAUCUGUACACAGCCUGCUGUCAUCACUAAAGACUUCUGCAUGGUCUUUUAUUCUCGGGAUGCCAAACUGCCUGCAUGUCGUUCCAUUCGAAACCUGUUUGGUACAGGCAGUCUCCGUGCCUCUGAGAGUAACCGUGUGGCUGGAGUAUAUGAACUAAGUCUUUGCCAGGUUGCAGAAAACAGCAGUCCAGAUGCUUGAAAAUAAAAGAAAAUCAUCAUAAACUCUUGAUACGCUGGUACAGGACGCUGGAACACCUCCAUAAGUUAGGCCUCUUACAGUCUGAUUCGUGCUGGAGAUGCAUUGAUGCUAAGGGGUCACUUUUGUCACAUUUGAUGGCACUGCUUCCAUAUCCAAACAUUCUGGACGGAAGUUCCGCUGACAUUUUACUAGGUGUGUGAGACACAAAUCCAACUAUUAUUAGCUAUGGUGGCUCUGGCCAAGGGGCGGACUGACCGGCCAGUCCAUUCAGACUUGGACCAGGGCCUGACUGGGUAAAGGGCCUGCCGUCCACCUUUUUACGCACAUACAGCAGAAAGCCUCCUCUCAGUGCCUGCAAUGCGCCUCCGCUAUGCAGUGUAGGCACUCACGACAUAACUCAUCGGCACCUACACUGUGGAGCGAGAAAAACAUGCCGGGUGAUAAUGAGAAGAUCGCUUUGUGAGACAUGUAAGUAUCUCUUUUUGUUUAGUUUUUUAUUUAUUUAUUUUAUUUUUUUUUUUUAACCUACAACAAAGUGGACUACCUAACUACCUUCCUACCUGACCUAAAUCUCUGUCUGCCUAACUACCUAUCUACAUACCUAACUACCUUCAUAUCUGGACUACAUGCCAGGUUGCCUAACUAUCUACCUAUAUAUUUGGCUACUUUUUACCCCACCUACAGUGGGGUAAAAAGUAUUUAGUCAGCCAAGUUCUCCCAUAUAAAAAGAUGAGAGAGGCCUGUGUUUUCAUCAUAGGUGUACC